rnacentral:rRNA from 1 species
AGUGAACGCUGGCGGUAGGCCUAACACAUGCAAGUCGAACGGCAGCACAGUAAGAGCUUGCUCUUACCGGUGGCGAGUGGCGGACGGGUGAGGAAUACAUCGGAAUCUACUUUUUCGUGGGGGAUAUCGUGGGGACGCUUACUCUAAUAGCGCAUACGACCUACGGCAUAAAGCAGGAGAUCUUCGGACCUUGCGCGAUUGAAUGAGCCGAUGUCGGAUUAGCUAGUUGGCGGGGUAAAGGCCCACCAAGGCGACGAUCCGUAGCUGGUCUGAGAGGAUGAUCAGCCACACUGGAACUGAGACACGGUCCAGACUCCUACGGGAGGCAGCAGUGGGGAAUAUUGGACAAAGGGCGCAAGCCUGAUCCAGCCAUACCGCGUGGGUGAAGAAGGCCUUCGGGUUGUAAAGCCCUUUUGUUGGGAAAGAAAAGCAGCAGGUUAAUACCUCGCUGUUCUGACGGUACCCAAAGAAUAAGCACCGGCUAACUUCGUG